rnacentral:lncRNA from 1 species
GUGGAACAGCGAGGAGAGGAAGAACACAUUCCACAAGACAAACUCGGAGGCUAUAACAGGGUACGUUAGAGGCAGCGACGUCCACCUCAUAGCAGAGGCCGCCGUCGACGCCGAUUGGGACGGCAAAGUAGCCGUCUACGCUCAGCGCAGCGCCACGCUUCUCACUGUGGCCGACAGCGUGGUCUUGCCGGUGUCGCUCAAGGUGCUCGACCACGAGGUCUUCACAGUCACGCCGAUUAAGACACUCUCCUCCGCCGC